ACUGUCCCAGAGGAAAAGCAGCAAACACAUGAUUUUUAAAUCUUUACAAUGUUUCCCUGAAAGAACCGAGCAGGCCUGCAUUGUUGCACCAUCCAAUUUCUUUUCAAAACUUCACAAUUUCAUCAUGCAGCUUGUUAGCUCGAAGUCUGCUGUUGUUUCCCGAAGCGAACAGAGUUUGAGAACAGCAACACACACA